rnacentral:rRNA from 1 species
AUGCCUGAUCAUUGCUGGUUUAUUGCAUUUGUCUUAAGAUGCUGCAGAAGGGAGUUGAUGACCUGUUUUUGUCCUCAUUUGCAUAUUAAAUUGCAUCAGUUAAUGUAUUCCCAGGAUUUUUUAACUGUGCAACUUGCCUAUUGUUUCGUGGAGACAAAUCUCAAGCAGAUACGUGCACCAGGUUUCACAUUUGCUGAUGGAAUCUUGACGAGGAGAAGGAUGCUUCUUAUCUUUCCCGAGGAAGAACACGAUGAUUCAGUAGGAACUACACUUCAGCUGCUUUCAACCAUUCCUCUGGUUGUGCUUACACUCCAUUUAGUUUCCAACAUUCUGCUUGUGCUUACACUCCACUUCUGCAUCCAUUCUUUUGAUAUCUGA